rnacentral:rRNA from 1 species
CCUACGGGUGGCUGCAGUGGGGAAUAUUGCACAAUGGGCGAAAGCCUGAUGCAGCGACGCCGCGUGAGUGAAGAAGUAUUUCGGUAUGUAAAGCUCUAUCAGCAGGGAAGAUAAUGACAGUACCUGACUAAGAAGCCCCGGCUAACUACGUGCCAGCAGCCGCGGUAAUACGUAGGGGGCAAGCGUUAUCCGGAUUCACUGGGUGUAAAGGGAGCGUAGACGGCGAGACAAGUCUGGAGUGAAAGGCCGGGGCCCAACCCCGGGACUGCUCUGGAAACUGCCUGGCUGGAGUACAGGAGAGGUAAGUGGAAUUCCUAGUGUAGCGGUGAAAUGCGUAGAUAUUAGGAGGAACACCAGUGGCGAAGGCGGCUUACUGGACUGUAACUGACGUUGAGGCUCGAAAGCGUGGGGAGCAAACAGGAUUAGAUACCCGAGUA